GAGCUUGCGCGUCUUACCAUGCAAGUCGAGCGGUAAGGCCUCUUCGGGGGUACACGAGCGGCGAACGGGUGAGUAACACGUGAGCAAUCUGCCCUUCACUUCGGGAUAACUCCGGGAAACCGGUGCUAAUACCGAAUAUGACCACUUCACGCAUGUGAUGGUGGUGGAAAGUUCUGGCGGUGGAGGAUGAGCUCGCGGCCUAUCAGCUUGUUGGUGGGGUAAUGGCCUACCAAGGCAACGACGGGUAGCCGGCCUGAGAGGGUGACCGGCCACACUGGGACUGAGACACGGCCCAGACUCCUACGGGAGGCAGCAGUGGGGAAUAUUGGACAAUGGGCGGAAGCCUGAUCCAGCAACGCCGCGUGAGGGAUGACUGCCUUCGGGUUGUAAACCUCUUUUACCUGUGACGAAGCGAGAGUGACGGUAGCAGGAGAAAAAGCACCGGCCAACUACGUGCCAGCAGCCGCGGUAAUACGUAGGGUGCGAGCGUUGUCCGGAAUUAUUGGGCGUAAAGGGCUCGUAGGCGGUUUGUCGCGUCGGGAGUGAAAACUCAGGGCUUAACCCUGAGCCUGCUUCCGAUACGGGCAGACUAGAGGUAUGCAGGGGAGAACGGAAUUCCUGGUGUAGCGGUGAAAUGCGCAGAUAUCAGGAGGAACACCGGUGGCGAAGGCGGUUCUCUGGGCAUUACCUGACGCUGAGGAGCGAAAGUGUGGGGAGCGAACAGGAUUAGAUACCCUGGUAGUCCACACCGUAAACGUUGGGCGCUAGGUGUGGGACUCAUUCCACGAGUUCCGUGCCGCAGCUAACGCAUUAAGCGCCCCGCCUGGGGAGUACGGCCGCAAGGCUAAAACUCAAAGGAAUUGACGG
rnacentral:rRNA from 1 species